rnacentral:rRNA from 1 species
AACGCUAGCGGCAGGCCUAACACAUGCAAGUCGAGGGGUAACAUAAAGUGCUUGCACUUUGAUGACGACCGGCGCACGGGUGAGUAACGCGUAUACAAUCUGCCUCAUACUAGGGGAUAGCCCAGAGAAAUUUGGAUUAAUACCCUAUAGUAUCAUUUAGAGUCAUCUCUUUAUGAUUAAAGGUUACGGUAUGAGAUGAGUAUGCGUUCUAUUAGUUAGUAGGUGAGGUAACGGCUCACCUAGACCACGAUAGAUAGGGGCCCUGAGAGGGGGAUCCCCCACACUGGUACUGAGACACGGACCAGACUCCUACGGGAGGCAGCAGUGAGGAAUAUUAGACAAUGGGCGAAAGCCUGAUCUAGCCAUGCCGCGUGCAGGAUGACGGCCCUAUGGGUUGUAAACUGCUUUUAUACAGGAAGAAAAAACUCUACGUGUAGAGUCUUGACGGUACUGUAAGAAUAAGGAUCGGCUAACUCCGUGCCAGCAGCCGCGGUAAUACGGAGGAUCCAAGCGUUAUCCGGAAUUAUUGGGUUUAAAGGGUCCGUAGGUGGACAAUUAAGUCAGAGGUGAAAUCCUGCAGCUCAACUGUAGAAUUGCCUUUGAAACUGGUUGUCUUGAGUCAUUAUGAAGUGGUUAGAAUGUGUAGUGUAGCGGUGAAAUGCAUAGAUAUUACACAGAAUACCAAUUGCGAAGGCAGAUCACUAAUAAUGUACUGACACUGAUGGACGAAAGCGUGGGUAGCGAACAGGAUUAGAUACCCUGGUAGUCCACGCCGUAAACGAUGGUCACUAGCUGUUCGGACUUCGGUCUGAGUGGCUAAGCGAAAGUGAUAAGUGACC